rnacentral:lncRNA from 1 species
CAAGUGAUUCUCCCACCUCAUCCUCCUGAGUAGCUGUGAUUACAGGCAUGUGCCACCACGCCUGGCUAAUUUUUGUAUUUUUAGUAAAGACAGAGUUUCACCAUGUUGGCUAGGCUGGUCUGGAACUCCUGACCUCAUGUGAUCGCCUACCUGGGCCUCCAAAAGUGCUAGGAUUACAGGGAUGAGCCACCACGCCUGGCCUUCAUCCUUAAUAACAAAUCACAUUUCUUGGCCUUAACAACUCAUGAAUUUAACAGGAAUAUGAAACAUAUAAUAUGUCAUGUUGGUGCCUUUAAGAUUAAAAUGAAUCAACAAGAAUUUGGCUUUAAGAAUUUCACAUCUAAGAUGACUAGAGAUCCCAGAGAUGUCCCAGAGACUGCAAAUCAAGACAACAGCAAAGGAUAUUUGUUCCUUAUUAUCUUUUGGUCCUAUUAGCAUUGAAGUAAGAAUAAUUUGGGGACUUGGCCGAGCGUGGUGGCUCACACCUGUAAUCCCAGCACUUUGGGAGACUGAGGCAGGCAGAUCACAAGGUCAGGAGAUUGAGACCAUCCUGGCUAACACAGUGAAACCCCGUUUCUACUAAAAAUACAAAAAAUUAGCCGGGCAUGGUGGCGGGUGCCUGUAGUCCCAGCUACUCGGGAGGCUGAGGCAGGAGAAUGGCGUGAACCUGGGAGGCGGAGCUUGCAGUGAGCUGAGAUGGCGCCACUGCGCUCCAGCCUGGGUGACAGAGCGAGACUCUGUCUCAAAAACAAAAAACAAAAAAAAAAAAAAAAAGAAUAAUUCGGGGACUUUGUUUAUAGUUUUUUUAAAGAGCCUUACGAUUUAGGUUUAAAUAAAAUUUGGCUCUGGGUUGUGGUUUAGCUAGACAUUUAUGAGUGAUCGUUCAGGUAAUACAUGUAAGAAAAGACAAUUUUAAGGGAUUAUAUAUAUUUGAUAUGGAUUUGAAAUUGCAAUUUUCUGAAUGAGGAAGCCUAGAGUUGGAGUGUUUUUCCAUUUUUUUCUUAGUCAUAGAUUAACUUUGAUAUUUGGCUCUGACAUAUCCUGUGCGAUCCUGUUUCCUGCAAAAACACAGCUCUCAAGCUGGGAACUGCUGUGAUGUGGAGCUGGUGUUUGACGACGGCUUUGAGCAUCUCAGCUAGAACACACUAUGCAAACACGGAAUAUUAUUUCUCAUCUCUUACCCUAAGAAGGGAGAGACAGGAGCUUAAUCCCCAGAUGCCACCAGGGUUUCAGAGAGAACAAAGAAGUGACCAGAAAACCUCGCAGCCCCUUAGAGAACGAGAUAGAGGUUUGGGCUCUGGCUGCUCAGCUGGGCACUGCUGACUCUGCCACUUGCAAAUGUCCUGUGGCUUGUGCCAUUCUAAACCCACAGAGGUCCUGGUCUACAGGGCACAGCCAGCUCUGUGGUGAACACACAUCCUGGCAGGAAUUGGGUGGGCUGGGCAUGGUGGCUCCUGCCUAUAAUCCCAACACUUUGGGAGGCCAAGGCAGGAGGAUCAUUUGAGGCUAGGAGUUUGAAACCAGCCUGGUCAACAUAGGGAGUCCCCUGUCCGUACAAAAAAUAAGAAAAAUUAGCCAGGCGUGGUGGUGCAUCCUUUUAACAGGUGUUUUGCUAUUAAGGCCAAACAGUUUUUCUGUUCUAUCAUUGUCUUUUUUUGUUUUCUCUCUUUGAUGGAGAGGAGAUGAAAUGAGCUGCUGUUUAGCCUGAGUACACCGUUGUGCUUUAUAUCUAUCAGCACCAGAAAUACCCCUGAGAGCUGAGCCGUAGAAAGCUGUCUAGAAACAAAUGAACUUAUGAAGCAUUUUAAGCUACAGGUUUUCCCACUGCAGUGCAUCAUGGGGAGAGGUAAAAGCGUGGAGGAUCUGGCUUCAGGCAGACCUUAGCUUAAAGCCCAUUAAGGCCACCAGGCUGCACAUCUCCUGGGGGCCCCCUUCACAGCAGACUCAGUGUGCAGGGCACCUCUGGAGUUGUGGCUGCACGGAUGACCCAGCCAUGUGCAGCAGCCUUGAAUCCCGUUUCCCUCACUGACUAGCUGUGUGGCCUUGGACAGGUAUUUGAACUCUCUAAGUGCUGGUUGCCUCAUCUAAUACAGCAUUAAUAAAUAUUUAUUAUAUUUUAGUCUGGUUGUGGUGGCUCA